UUUGCCCAGUGCGUGUCUCCAACUGGCCCAACUGGAGCUGCGGGUCCGGGAGGCCUUGGCCGAGCGCGAGCGGCUGCUGCAAGCCAGGGAGGCUCGAAAAGCUGCCAAGGCUCCGCCCACCACGGACACGCCCACUUCUGAUGAGGCCACACCCACUCCAGCACAGGCAGCGCCCCCUCCGGCUCAGGCCACGCCCCCUCCUGAGCCCGACCUCCUCUGCGCCCUCCGGGCCCGCGGCCACCGCCCCGAGUCUGUGGGGGGCCUGUGGAUUUUGGGGGGGUCCCUGAGGGGUCCCCUCACCAAGAUGGGGGGGCGCAUCAAGACCUGGCGGCGCCG